GUGUACUCUGGUUGGUGGUUUAGUCCAUGAGAGCUCUGGGUUGUCUGGUUGGUUGAUAUUGUUGUUCUUCCUAUGGGAUUGCAAACCCCUUCAGCUCCUUUACUCCUUUCUUUAACUCCUCCAUUGGGGACCCUGUGCUCAGUUCAAUUUGGCUAUGAGCAUCUGCCUCUGUCUUUGUCAAGCGAAAAUGGCGUGAACUGAAGCUGAGUUUGAAGGAGAAAUCCAGCACCAGAGCCUGCAAUCUGAGGAGGAUCUCCAUUCAGACUCACCUGAUAACAGCUUGAUUCAGUCCUAGAACACAGGGAAGACAUACUACUUUCUACUUGUGAAUCUUUUUUUGGCUAAAUAAAUCUUUAAUAUUCCUAA